rnacentral:rRNA from 1 species
CAUUUUGAACUGCAUGGUUCGAAAUUGAAAGGCGGCUUCGGCUGUCACUUAUGGAUGGACCCGCGUCGCAUUAGCUAGUUGGUGAGGUAACGGCUCACCAAGGCAACGAUGCGUAGCCGACCUGAGAGGGUGAUCGGCCACACUGGGACUGAGACACGGCCCAGACUCCUACGGGAGGCAGCAGUAGGGAAUCUUCCGCAAUGGACGAAAGUCUGACGGAGCAACGCCGCGUGAGUGAUGAAGGCUUUCGGGUCGUAAAACUCUGUUGUUAGGGAAGAACAAGUGCUAGUUGAAUAAGCUGGCACCUUGACGGUACCUAACCAGAAAGCCACGGCUAACUACGUGCCAGCAGCCGCGGUAAUACGUAGGUGGCAAGCGUUAUCCGGAAUUAUUGGGCGUAAAGCGCGCGCAGGUGGUUUCUUAAGUCUGAUGUGAAAGCCCACGGCUCAACCGUGGAGGGUCAUUGGAAACUGGGAGACUUGAGUGCAGAAGAGGAAAGUGGAAUUCCAUGUGUAGCGGUGAAAUGCGUAGAGAUAUGGAGGAACACCAGUGGCGAAAGGCGACUUUCUGGUCUGUAACUGACACU